CUGGGGGUGUGGUUGGGUCUGAAGAGCACUGAGAUAUUGUGCUUUGAGAAAUUUCUCCUGAAUUUUCUGAGAGGCUGAAGAAGCCUCUUGGAUGAGAGGUGGAACAUCUUCAUGAAACUUAAAGAAGUCAAGUCGCUUCAUUUCUGAGCUCCUUAGACUGCCAUGACCCGGCUGACGGAGGACCCGGCUGACGGAGGACCCAGGCAGACAGCCAGCACAGAAUAUUUGAUUGUGUACAAAAUCACCAGCACCUUUGAUAAGUGAUGGAUGGAAGGAUGCACAACAAUGUGUUACAAUGAAACUCUUUUUCACAGCAGCUUAUUGAAUAAAUAAAAUAAAGAAUAAAGGACA